AGAAAAAUAAUAUUUUAUCGUGUAAUUAUAAUUGGUGAAUUUUAAAUAUGAUAAAAAAAUUCAAUUUAUCCUUCACGGCGACCUAAUGAUUUAGAUUUGUAAUUUUCAUAUUGGAGAUCUAACUCCGUAUCAUCGAAAGCAAGAAGUUUACCUCUUAGAUCGAGCUCGUUGUACACUUGUAUAGUAUAGAUUUGAAAUUUUAAAAUUCGCUUAAAUACUUUAAAAUUUUUAAAUAUUGGGUCAAAUCGGAUUAACAUAAUAUAUAAGAAUCAACCUAUAAGUAUAUAAACUUAAUAUAAUUGAAUAAUUUGAUCUCAUAUGACCAUUAUGUAAUUCAGUUUUAUUCAAAAUUAUAUGUAUGUCUCGGAGAAUAGCCAAGUUAAAUAAUGCAUUAUAAUUUAUGUCGAUCAAUUUUUUACCAAAGUAAAAUACAUGGCACAAUUUCGAAAAAGUGGAAAAAAAAAGUGGGAGCUAAAUCAGACCUUAUCCAUACAAUCACAAAGGCGAUGGAGGCUAAUACAAAUGCAAUUCCAGCCGUUAGAAUUAGAGCAAGUAGUUUUCUCAUCUUGGAUCUAUGCUUUGAAGUAACUAGUGUGGCAUGUAGGAACAUGAUUUCUUGGAGAACCACAAAGGAACCUCCCCAUUGAAGUUGUUGAAACCAAGCAUAACAACCUUUAACCGAUGCAAACGUGCCAUUUCUUGAGGCAAAUUUCCAUAGAAACUGUUGUGAUUCAGGUCAAGAGAAGUAAGAAAUGUGGGGUUUCAGAAUUCAGUGGUAGUAUUGGUGUGAGUCAUGGCUAAGUUGCUAGCCACAACCAAGUGAAGUAACAUGAGUCCUAUUAAGAGAAAAAAUGUUGAAGGCUUUCUCCAUUACAACUUAAGGAAAAUAGAUAGAAUUGAGUAUUAGUGAUGAAUUGAUCUCUAUUUUGAUCUUCCUUAUUAUUUCAUUUUCAUGUGUUCUUAAUUUGCAAGUUCCUAAAUUUGUGGAGUUUACAUUUGUUUGUAAGUAAACUAUUACCCUUUGCCAUUGGCAAAUUUUGAUCAAUUGUUAUUCUACUUGGCAAUCUAAUUGUUCAUACUAUUUUAACUUUA